rnacentral:rRNA from 1 species
GACGAAGGGGGCUAGCGUUGUUCGGAAUUACUGGGCGUAAAGCGCGUGUAGGCGGCUUUGCAAGUCGGGUGUGAAAGCCCUCGGCUCAACCGAGGAAGUGCGCCCGAAACUGCAGAGCUUGAGUACCGGAGAGGAUGGCGGAAUUCCCCAAGUAGAGGUGAAAUUCGUAGAUAUGGGGAGGAACACCGGUGGCGAAGGCGGCCAUCUGGACGGAUACUGACGCUGAGACGCGAAAGCGUGGGGAGCAAACAGG